rnacentral:tRNA from 1 species
CAUUAGAUGACUGAAAGCAAGUACUGGUCUCUUAAACCUUUUUAUAGUAAAUUAGCAAUUACUUCUAA